rnacentral:rRNA from 1 species
GAGUUUGAUCGUGGCUCAGAUUGAACGCUGGCGGCAGGCCUAACACAUGCAAGUCGAGCGGAUGACGGGAGCUUGCUCCUUGAUUCAGCGGCGGACGGGUGAGUAAUGCCUAGGAAUCUGCCUGGUAGUGGGGGACAACGUUUCGAAAGGAACGCUAAUACCGCAUACGUCCUACGGGAGAAAGCAGGGGACCUUCGGGCCUUGCGCUAUCAGAUGAGCCUAGGUCGGAUUAGCUAGUUGGUGGGGUAAUGGCUCACCAAGGCGACGAUCCGUAACUGGUCUGAGAGGAUGAUCAGUCACACUGGAACUGAGACACGGUCCAGACUCCUACGGGAGGCAGCAGUGGGGAAUAUUGGACAAUGGGCGAAAGCCUGAUCCAGCCAUGCCGCGUGAGUGAAGAAGGCCUCGGUUGUAAGAC